UACGGAGGGUGCAAGCGUUAAUCGGAAUUACUGGGCGUAAAGCGUGCGCAGGCGGUUUUGUAAGUUUGUCGUGAAAUCCCCGGGCUCAACCUGGGAAUGGCGAUGAAGACUGCAAGGCUAGAGUUUGGCAGAGGGGGGUAGAAUUCCACGUGUAGCAGUGGAAAUGCGUAGAUAUGUGGAGGAACACCGAUGGCGAAGGCAGCCCCCUGGGUCAAAACUGACGCUCAUGCACGAAAGCGUGGGGAGCAAACAGG
rnacentral:rRNA from 1 species